rnacentral:tRNA from 1 species
GCCUUCGCGGUGUAGUGGUCAGCACGUUAGACGCGUAACCGAGAGGUCCGUGGUUCGAUUCCUGGCGAAGGUG